AGUCAGUUGCGAGCGAGCGAGCAGGAGGGUGCAAGACUGCAGGAGCAGAGCAAUGCCUAAAUCAAAGGAACUAGUUUCUUCAAGCUCCUCUGGCAGUGAUUCAGACAGUGAAGUUGACAAAAAGUUAAAGAGGAAAAAGCAAGUUGCUCCAGAAAAACCUGUGAAGAAGCAAAAGACUGGUGAAACUUCAAGAGCUCUGUCAUCUUCCAAACAGAGCAGCAGCAGCAGAGAUGAUAACAUGUUUCAGAUUGGGAAAAUGAGGUACGUUAGUGUUCGGGACUUUAAAGGGAAAGUUCUUACUGAUAUUAGAGAAUACUGGAUGGAUCCAGAAGGUGAAAUGAAACCAGGAAGGAAAGGUAUUUCUUUAAAUCCGGAGCAGUGGAGCCAGCUGAAGGAACAGAUUUCUGACAUUGAUGAUGCAGUGUCAUAA